AUUGAACGCGGGCGGCAGGCUUAACACAUGCAAGUCGAGCGGGGUGAUGGUGCUUGCACUAUCACUUAGCGGCGGACGGGUGAGUAAUGCUUAGGAAUCUGCCUAUUAGUGGGGGACAACAUCUCGAAAGGGAUGCUAAUACCGCAUACGUCCUACGGGAGAAAGCAGGGGAUCACUUGUGACCUUGCGCUAAUAGAUGAGCCUAAGUCGGAUUAGCUAGUUGGUGGGGUAAAGGCCUACCAAGGCGACGAUCUGUAGCGGUCUGAGAGGAUGAUCCGCCACACUGGGACUGAGACACGGCCCAGACUCCUACGGGAGGCAGCAGUGGGGAAUAUUGGACAAUGGGGGGAACCCUGAUCCAGCCAUGCCGCGUGUGUGAAGAAGGCCUUAUGGUUGUAAAGCACUUUAAGCGAGGAGGAGGCUCUUUUGGUUAAUACCCAAGAUGAGUGGACGUUACUCGCAGAAUAAGCACCGGCUAACUCUGUGCCAGCAGCCGCCGUAA
rnacentral:rRNA from 1 species